AGGCCCCUUCGGGGGUACUCGAGCGGCAAACGGGUGAGUAACACGUUGGAACCUACCCUUAAGUGAGGGAUAAUUCACCGAAAGGUGGACUAAUACCGCAUAUGCCCUAUUGGGUAAAGCAGCAAUGCGCUUAGGGAGGGUCCUGCGCACUAUCAGCUAGUUGGUGAGGUAAUGGCUCACCAAGGCUACGACGGUUAGCUGGUCUGAGAGGACGACCAGCCACAAGGGAACUGAGACACGGUCCCUACUCC
rnacentral:rRNA from 1 species